rnacentral:rRNA from 1 species
ACGAACGCUGGCGGCGUGCUUAACACAUGCAAGUCGAACGGAAAGACCCUGCUUUUGUGGGGUGCUCGAGUGGCGAACGGGUGAGUAACACGUGAGUAACCUGCCCUUGACUUUGGGAUAACUUCAGGAAACUGGGGCUAAUACCGGAUAGGAGCUCCUGCUGCAUGGUGGGGUUGGAAAGUUUCGGCGGUUGGGGAUGGACUCGCGGCUUAUCAGCUUGUUGGUGGGGUAGUGGCUUACCAAGGCUUUGACGGGUAGCCGGCCUGAGAGGGUGACCGGCCACAUUGGGACUGAGAUACGGCCCAGACUCCUACGGGAGGCAGCAGUGGGGAAUAUUGCACAAUGGGCGGAAGCCUGAUGCAGCAACGCCGCGUGCGGGAUGACGGCCUUCGGGUUGUAAACCGCUUUCGCCUGUGACGAAGCGUGAGUGACGGUAAUGGGUAAAGAAGCACCGGCUAACUACGUG